GAUGAACGCUAGCUACAGGCUUAACACAUGCAAGUCGAGGGGAAACGAUAGGAAAAGCUUGCUUUUUCUAGGCGUCGACCGGCGCACGGGUGAGUAACGCGUAUCCAACCUGCCCAUCACUUGGGGAUAACCUUGCGAAAGUAAGACUAAUACCCAAUGACGUCUCUAGAAGACAUCUGAAGGAGAUUAAAGAUUUAUCGGUGAUGGAUGGGGAUGCGUCUGAUUAGCUCGUUGGCGGGGUAACGGCCCACCAAGGCGACGAUCAGUAGGGGUUCUGAGAGGAAGGUCCCCCACAUUGGAACUGAGACACGGUCCAAACUCCUACGGGAGGCAGCAGUGAGGAAUAUUGGUCAAUGGACGAGAGUUUGAACCAGCCAAGUAGCGUGCAGGAAGACGGCCCUAUGGGUUGUAAACUGCUUUUAUAAGGGAAUAAAGUGAGUCUCGUGAGACUUUUUGCAUGUACCUUAUGAAUAAGGACCGGCUAAUUCCGUGCCAGCCGCCGCGGUAA
rnacentral:rRNA from 1 species